rnacentral:lncRNA from 1 species
GGGGUCCCCCGUGUCCUCUCUCCUCACCGGCUGCUGGGCGCCGCCAUCUUCCUUCCCCGCCCCCGUGGGAGGAGAGCCGCUUCCUGUGCGUCACUUCCGGAGGGCGGGACGCGGCGAGACAGGGCCGUGGCUGCAGGUGUUUUCAGGGGUUGGGCGGGAGCGUGUAGAGUUGGGAGGUCGGAGGCCUGAGGUCCUUUCGAGAAACGCGAGGAACACGGAACGGCCAAGGCUUCCGGGGAGGAGAGGACGGCGGCCCCGCACCUUUGUUUCCAGAGGUUUCCAGGCGUUUUCUGGCCGGAUCCCAGGGCCUCGUGCGAUGGGCCGGGCUGGACACCGCGCGCUUCAAAGUCACGUUUGGGAUGCUUCUUGCUGACUGUAUCCUCAAGAGGAACUGGUUCUUGGAACGAUGCCUCCGCCUUCCAAUCUGACCAGUUGCAGCCUUACCGUGUUAGCUAUCAAGUGGGAAGACCGGUGAACUCAAGGUUGCUUGUCGGACCUGAGCCACACCAGGGAAUGCAAUCACCAGAGCAUCUCAGGAUGUAGAAGGUGUAGUAACCCAGAAACCCAGAGAUAAAGGUCCAGAGGGAAGGAAGCACGAAACUCUCGACGUUUUCAGUACGCCCGAGGGAAGCCGUGUGAAAGGCUCCCAACCGGAGAAUGAAGAUCACUGAGUUCCAGAAACAUUUAAGAAAGUUUGGGGAUUAUUGGACUCAGAAGCUGGUGGCAGACUGCCUUGUACACAUCAGUCCCCUCUGCUUCUUAGCCAUAGUCACACUGCGUGCUCGCCUUGGAAUGAUGUCCAGGAAGCUCACUAUGUUUCCAGGAUUCACUUUCACGUCUUUAAAGCUGAUCUCUUCCCCUUCGAAGUGUGACAGGCCCGGUCUGGAUGAACGGGGCCCGCCUCCGGGACCACAAGUGCCUGCCCAUGGAGCUUCUAAGGAGGAUCCUGUCACCCUAGUGGACCACACCUCUGACCUCCAGAGACACAGGUGAGUCUGUCGUCGGUCCGGUGCUUCAGAUGCCGGCCACAGACCACGGGCCUCUCUCACUUCUGACCGAUUGGCUGUCAAUUGGUUCCCAUGACCCCCUCCUCAGGUCUGAUCAUUUGGUAGAAUGGCUCCCAGAACUCCGGGAAAGACAGUGCCAGGGUUUAUUGGUUAAUCAUAAAGGAUACAAAUGAACGACCAAAUGGAGGAGACACCUGGGGAGAGGCACAGGGGCAGGUGCACCGAACUCCCUUGCCCUCUGUGAGCUCACCACCCCCCUCCCACUGCCCCGGCAGCUCCAACUCGGAAGUUCUCCAAACCUCGUAGUUCAGGGUUUUUUACAGAGAUUUCGUUACGCAGCCACGGUUAAUUAAAACAUUGGCUGUUGGUGAUGAGCUCACUUUCCAGCCCCGCUCCCUUCCCUGUCAUCAUGCGGUUGGCCCCUCUCCUACCAGCCCCCAUCCUGAAACUCUGGGGACACCAAGAGCCACCUUAUCAGCACAAACACAGAUAAGGUUGAAAAGGGCUCUUCAUGAAUACGUCGGAGGCUCCUUUCACUCCUAUCUCUCGGGAUUUUAAAAUACUCUAUGCCAGGAACCAGGGACAAAGACCAAAUAUAUAUUUCUUUCUUUCUUUCUUUCUUUUUUUUUUUUAAGUUUAUUUAUUUAUUUUAAGACGGGAGACAAGUGGGGAGGGGCAGAGAGAGAGGGAGAGAGAGAGAAUCCCAAGCAGGCUCCGUGCUGUCAGUACAGAGCCCGACGCAGGGCUUGAACUCACGAAUUGUGAGAUCAUGACCUGAGCCGAACUCAAGAGUCAGAUGCAUAACCCACUGAGCCAUCCAGGCAACUCCCCCCAAAUAAACAUUUCUUAUUAUAUCA